UACGUAGGGUGCAAGCGUUAAUCGGAAUUACUGGGCGUAAAGCGUGCGCAGGCGGUUUUGUAAGUUUGUCGUGAAAGCCCCGGGCUCAACCUGGGAAUGGCGAUGAAGACUGCAAGGCUUGAAUCUGGCAGAAGGGGGUAGAAUUCCACGUGUAGCAGUGAAAUGCGUAGAGAUGUGGAGGAACACCGAUGGCGAAGGCAGCCCCCUGGGUCAAGAUUGACGCUCAUGCACGAAAGCGUGGGGAGCAAACAGG
rnacentral:rRNA from 1 species